rnacentral:rRNA from 1 species
AACGAACGCUGGCGGCAUGCCUAACACAUGCAAGUCGAACGAACGCAUCAGCCUUUGUGGCGCACGGCUUUGUCACGCGUGGGAAUCUGCACUUGGGUUCGGCAUAACUGUUAGAAUUGGAUAAUUAUGCCGGACGAGGACGAAUAUCCAAAGAUCUAUUGAAUGAGGAUGAGCACGCGUAGGAUUAGCUAGUUGGUGUGGUAAUGGAGCACCAAGGGGACGAUCCUUAGCUGGUAUGAGAGGCUGAUCAGCAACUCUGAGAGGCAGACACGGCCGAGACUCCUACGGGAUGCAGCAGUGGGGGAUAUAGCACCGUGGGGGCAAGCCUGAUCCAGCUAGGCCGCGUGAGUGAUGAAGGCCGUAGGGUUGUAAAGUGCUUUUAACCGUGAAGAUAAUGACAGUAGCGGGUGAAUAAGCCCCGGCUAACUCCGUG